UAGGUUUAGGCAGGGUUUAGGGUUAGCAGGGUUUAGGGUUAAAAAGAGUUUAGGGUAGGUAGGAUUUAGGGUUAGGUAGGGUUUAGGGUUAGUAAGGUUUAGGGUUAGGUAGGGUUUAAGAUUGGUAGGGUUUAGGGUUAAUAGGUUUAGGGUUAGGUACAGUUUAGGGUUAUGUAGGGUUUAGGGUUAGUAGGGUUUAGGUUUAGUAGGGUUUAGGGUUAGUAGGGUUUAGGGCUAGAAAGGGUUUAAGGUUAGAAAUGUUUUAGGGUAAGGUAGUGUUUAGGGUUAGUAGGGUUUAGGGUUAUGUAGGUUUAGGGUUAGCAUGGUUUAGGGUUAAAAAGGGUUUAGGGUUAGUAGGGUUUAGGGUUAGUAGGAUUUAAGGCUAGAAAGGGUUUAUAGGGUUAGGUAGGAUUUAGGGUUAGGCAGGGUUUAGGGUUAGGUCAGGUUUAGGGUUAGAAGGGGUUUAGGGUUAGAAAGGGUUUAGGGUUAGGUAAGGUUUAGGGUUAGGUAGGGUUUAGGGUUCGGUAGGGUUUAGGGUUUGGUAGGGUUUAGGGUUAGAAAGGGUUAAGGGUUAGCAUGGUUUAGGGUUAGAAAGGGUUUAGGGUUAGUAGGGUUAAUAGGAUUUAAGGCUAGAAAGGGUUUAGGGUUAUGUAGGAUUUAGGGUUAGGCAAGGUUUAGGGUUAGGUCAGGUUUAAGGUUAGAAGGGGUUUAAAGUUAGGUAGGAUUUAGGGUUAGAAAGGGUUUAGGGUUAGAAAGAGUUUAGGGUAGGUAGGGUUUAGGGUUAGGUAGGGUUUAGGGUUAGGUAGGGUUUAGGGUUAGUAGGGUUUAGGGUUAGAAAGGGUUUAGGGUUAGAAAGGGUUUAGGUUAAGUAGGGUUUAGGUUAGGUAGGGUUUAGGUUAGGUAGGGUUAGUAGGGUUUAGGGUUAUGUAGGGUUAGGGUUAGGUAGGGUUUAGGGUUAGUAGGGUUUAGGGUUAGGUAGGGUUUAGGGUAAGUGGGGUUUAGGGUUAGUAGGGUUUAGGGUAGGUGGGUUUAGGGUUAGGUAGGGUUUAGGGUUAGGUUUUAGGUAGGGUUUUAGGGUUAGGAAGGGUUUAGGGUUAGGUAGAGUUUAGGGUUAAAUAGGGUUUAGGGUUAGGUAGGGUUUACGGGGUUAGGUAGGUUUACAAUUAGAUAGGUUUAGGGUUUAGGUAGUAUGAAGGGUUUAGGGUUAGGUUUAUGUAGGGUUUAGGGUUAGAUAAGGUUAAGGUCUAUGUUUAUGUAGGGUUUAUGGUUAGGUAGGAUUUAGGGUUUUAGGCAGUAGAAAAGGUUUAGCGUUU
rnacentral:lncRNA from 1 species